UCGGGAAUAUUGCGCAAUGGAGGAAACUCUGACGCAGUGACGCCGCGUAUGGGAAGAAGGUUUUCGGAUUGUAAACCAUUGUCGUUAGGGAAGAAGAAGUGACAGUACCUAAGGAGGAAGCUCCGGCUAACUAUGUGCCAGCAGCCGCGGUAAUACAUAGGGAGCGAGCGUUAUCCGGAUUUAUUGGGUGUAAAGGGUGCGUAGACGGGAAUUUAAGUUGGUUGUGAAAUCCCUCGGCUCAACUGAGGAACUGCAACCAAAACUGGAUUUCUUGAGUGCUGGAGAGGAAAGUGGAAUUCCUAG
rnacentral:rRNA from 1 species